CCUGCGGAAGGAUCAUUAUUGAAAUAAACCUGAUGAGUUGUUGCUGGUUCUCUAGGGAGCAUGUGCACACUUGUCAUCUUUAUAUCUCUCCACCUGUGCACCUUUUGUAGACCUGGAUAUCUCUCUGAAUGCUAGCAUUCAGGUUUGAGGUUUGACCUUUUGGUCUCUCCUUACAUUUCCAGGCCUAUGUUUCUUCAUAUACCCCUUGUAUGUUAUAGAAUGUAAUAAAUGGGCCUUUGUGCCUAUAAAACUAUACAACUUUCAGCAACGGAUCUCUUGGCUCUCGCAUCGAUGAAGAACGCAGCGAAAUGCGAUAAGUAAUGUGAAUUGCAGAAUUCAGUGAAUCAUCGAAUCUUUGAACGCACCUUGCGCUCCUUGGUAUUCCGAGGAGCAUGCCUGUUUGAGUGUCAUUAAUAUAUCAACCUCUUCAGCUUUUGCUUGUUGAGCGUUGGAUGUGGGGGUCUUUAUUUGUUGGCCUCUUUUCUGAGGUCAGCUCCCCUGAAAUGCAUUAGUGGAACAAUUUGUUGACUGUUCAUUGGUGUGAUAACUAUCUACGCUAUUGACGGUGAAGCAAGUUCAGCUUCUAACAGUACCAUUGACUUGGACAAAAAUUUAUUGAGUGUGACCUCAAAUCAGGUAGG
rnacentral:rRNA from 1 species